rnacentral:rRNA from 1 species
CGGGGUGAGUAACGCGUGGAUAACCUGCCUCACACUGGGGAUAACAGUUAGAAAUGACUGCUAAUACCGCAUAAGCGCACAGUACCGCAUGGUACAGUGUGAAAAACUCCGGUGGUGUGAGAUGGAUCCGCGUCUGAUUAGCCAGUUGGCGGGUAACGCCCACCAAAGCGACGAUCAGUAGCCGACCUGAGAGGGUGACCGGCCACAUUGGGACUGAGACACGGCCCAA